UUUUUGGCCACAUUUUCUCACUCUUCUUUCUCCACCUUCUUCACCCGAUUAUCUCUCUUCUUUCUCCACUCAUUCAAUGGCAAAAAACUCUCAUAUCUUCUCCUAGAUCACCUCCUAAACUCUUUGAGACUUCGAUCUAAUUGUUUACCAAAGUUUUAACUCGAGUUUUCUCAAGGUUUUGUCGGAAUGAUGAGGAUGAAGAAAUUGGCAACAACCAUGGAAAUAUGUUUACACCACAUGAGUGACCACAUUUUUGGGCAUGAAGACCAUAGAACAAAAUAUCACUUUGUGAUGAGAAACCUAACUCUAAGGACAAGGACUAGCAUGGACACUUUGUUUUGUUGUUUAGACUUUACUUUCUAAUUUUUGUGUUAGUUUUUGCAUGAUUACUCCCCAUUUCCUCUUUAUAAAUUUUUUGUGGAAUGAUGAUGCCCUUUUAUGCCAUGCAGGGCAUUAAGGGAGCUUGGUGAGCCUCUCCUCAUUCCAUGGAAGCCCGCGACAUGAAAAGCUUACAACAUCUUUUGUUCGGGUCACCUCUCGCCAUGUGCACAAGAUUUAACCGAGGAAGGAACGGGAAAGCCAUGGAGAACACGAAGAUAUAAUUUGGGCGAAAAACAGAAGAAAACCAGGGCACGAGAAUGCCAUGGAUUACUGUAGUAGUGGCACUUUAGCAUCAAUACUGUAGCAAGAUCACUGUAGCUAAUACUGUAGCACAUGGAGAGUUUCAACUCAGGAAUUGAAUCAUGGCAUACGACCUCAAUGCUGCAUGGUAUGGAGCCCAUGAUGAUCACUCUAGCUGUAAAAGAAGAUGUUUGUUUGAAGGCAUACUGGCUCAAUGAGGUGCUCAUUGAGCCAGUAUGGAUACUAU